rnacentral:rRNA from 1 species
AGAGUUUGAUCAUGGCUCAGAACGAACGCUGGCAGCGUGGAUGAGGCAUGCAAGUCGAACGGUCUUCAGCUGAUAGCAAUAUUAGUUGAUGAUAGUGGCGGAAGGGCGAGUAAUGCGAGAGCAAGCUACCCCUCGGACCGGGACAACGUUUGGAAACGAACGCUAAUACCGGAUACGAAGCGGAACCGCAUGGUUCCGUCUUGAAAGGCGGGGACCCGCAAGGGCCCGUCACCGAAGGAGGUGCUCCCGUGCCAUCAGCUAGUUGGUGAGGUAAUGGCUCACCAAGGCUUACGGCUAGGUGGACUGAGAGGUUGGUCACCCGCACUGGGACUGAGACACUGCCCAGACUCCUACGGGAGGCUGCAGUCGAGGAUCAUUCGCAAUGGGGGAAACCCUGACGAUGCGACGCUGCGUGUAGGAUGAAGGCCUUCGGGUCGUAAACUACUGUCAUGUGGGGCAAGGGUACGGGCACUAAUAGUGCGAUGUACUUGAUGGUACCACAAGAGGAAGCCACGGCUAACUCUGUGCCAGCAGCCGCGGUAAUACAGAGGUGGCGAGCGUUGUUCGGAUUUACUGGGCGUAAAGCGUGCGUAGGCGGUCGCGUAUGUCGGAUGUGAAAUCCC